CCCGAAAGCCACAAAAAGCAGAGGUAAGGUUCAAUUCAGAAAACCAAACAAGGAAGCAGGAAAAUGGGUUCACUUUCACUAUCACUUCAAGUUGUAUUGAUUUCCGCUGGUGUUUUGUCCCUAGCUUUGCUUCUCAAAGUCUCUGUUCCAUUGGUGGUAGAUUUCUCUGUUUAUCAAGCUCCUCUUAUAUGGGGCUCAAUCGCUUCCUGGCUUAAACCCCCUUAUCUUUAUGUUAUACUCAACUGCAUCAUCAUCACCAUCGCUGCCUCCUCUCGUCUCCAUCACACCCAUGAUGCCUCCGAUAAAGAACAGCAGGAGCAAAUACCACCUGCUCCGAAAAUCUCGAUUCAUGAGGCGCCGGAUCAGUUUCACUACCAGAUUAAGAUUUCGGCUGCGGAGAUUUUAUCCGAUUAUGGGGGUAUGGAGUCGACGGUUGUGGUGGCGGAGGAUGUAUACAAGCAGAGACAGGACAAGAGUGGUGCAGGUCCUGUUUUUGAGAAUAAAAGUACUAUGGAGGUUGAGGAUGACUUUGCAAUCUCAAAGUCCACAUGGAUUCCUCCGAAGGGAAUGGAUUCGUCGGAGAAUCUGCCGGAGCUUCUUCUACCGUCUGAGAAACCUCUGGUUUCUGCUCGCUUUGGUCACCGGAAACCAGUUAGAGCUAGUCCUGGAAGAAGAGCGCUGAGGGUUGCGAAGCCAAAACGUCAGGAGACGUUGGAGAACACGUGGAAAACGAUAACGGAGGGCAGAGCGAUGCCGUUAACAAGGCACUUGAAGCAAUGUGAGACGUUCGAGAAUCACGGCCGUCGAGUCAACGUUUGUGAAGCGGACCCGUCAUCUCCACCGAAGAAAUCAGAAAAGUUCAAGUACAGGACUAAUUACCAGCUGCCACCCGUGGGCAACUCUCCUGCAUCAGGGAAGCUGAGAAAAGAGCCGUCAGUGAGUCAAGACGAGUUGAAUCGCCGAGUGGAGGCGUUCAUUAAGAAGUUCAACGAGGAGAUGAGGAUGCAGAGGCAAGAGUCGCUGAACCAAUUCAAGGAAAUGAUUAAUCGUGG
rnacentral:misc_RNA from 1 species